CUCAAAAAAAAAUAGAUACGAUUGCAUUGCAUGUAGUAACAGAUGCGAUCAUACCAGCACUAAUGCACCGGAUCCCAUCAGAACUCCGUAGUUAAGCGUACUUGGGCGAGAGUAGUACGAGGAUGGGUGACCUCACGGAAAGUCCUCGUGUUGCAUUCCUCUUUUUUCGGUUUUCCUCUAUUUUGUUUUGUUAAAAAUGUAUGACUCUAUAACUUUAAGACCGUGAGGCCAACCUUGACAUGUGAUACCUUUUCGGAAAGCCUAAAGAGAGCUCUCCGAUGAAAGAGGAAGGAAAAUGGAAUUCUUCUAUUGUUUUUUUUUCUUCUCCAAAUUUUGACCUUAAUGUACUUUUUCGAGCCUUUUCGUGAUCUUUGCUAUAGUACGGGGCAAAAAUUAUAUGUUCGGACAUUGUUUUCGAAUAUUUUGUAUCUAUCAAAGCUCUUAUAAACAAGAUAGGGUAUUCCUACAUAGCUGGUGGGACCCAUGGCAAAUGAAUCAUAAAGUCUUCAAAAAAGAAUAGAUACGAUUGCAUUGCAUGUAGUAACAGAUGUGAUCAUACCAGCUCUAAUGCACCGGAUCCCAUCAGAACUCCGAAGUUAAGCCUGAUUGGGCGAGAGUAGUACUAAGAUGGGUGACCUCGAGGAAUGUCCUCGUGUUCCAUCCCUCUUUUUUUCGGUUUUUCUCUAUUUUGUUUUAUUAAAAAUGUAUGACUCUAUAACUUUAAGACCGUGAGGCAAAACUUGACAUGUGAUACCUUUUCGGAAAGCCCAAAGAGAGCUCUCCAAUGAAUGAGGAAGUCUUUUUCUAUUCCAAAUUUUGACCUUAAUGUACUUUUUCGAGUCUUUUCGUGAUCUUUGCUAUAUUACGGGGCGAACAUUAUACGUUCGGACAUUGUUUUCGAAUAUUUUGUAUCUAUCAAAGCUCUUAUAAACAAGAUAGGGUAUUCCUACAUAGCUGGUGGGACCCACGGCAAAUGGAUCAUAAAGUCUUAAAAAAAGAAUAGAUACGAUUGCAUUGCAUGUAGUAACAGAUGCGAUCAUACCAGCACUAAUGCACCGGAUCCCAUCAGAACUCCGCAGUUAAGCGUGCUUGGGCGAGAGUAGUACUAGGAUGGGUGACCUCGAAGAAUGUCCUCGUGUUGCAUCCCUCUUUUUUUCGGUUUUUCUCUUUUUUUGUUUUGUUAAAAAUGUAUGACUUUAUAACUUUUAGACCGUGAGGCCAAACUUGGCAUGCCAUACCUUUUCGGAAAGCCCAAAGAGAGCUCUCCAAUUAAUGAGGAAGGAAAAUGGAAUUCUUCUAUUGUUUUUUUUUUCUACUCCAAAUUUUGACCUUAAUGUACUUUUUCGUGCCUUUUCGUGAUCUUUGCUAUAGUACGGGGUGAAAAUUAUAUGUUCGGACAUUGUUUUCGAAUAUUUUGCAUGUAUCAAAGCUCUAAUAAACAAGAUAGGGUAUUCCUACAUAGCUAGUGR
rnacentral:sRNA from 1 species